GACGAACGCUGGCGGCGUGCUUAACACAUGCAAGUCGAACGGCAAGGCCCUGCUUUUGUGGGGUGCUCGAGUGGCGAACGGGUGAGUAACACGUGAGUAACCUGCCCUGGACUUUGGGAUGACUUCAGGAAACUGGGGCUAAUACCGGAUAGGAGCUCCUGCUGCAUGGUGGGGGUUGGAAAUUUUCGGCGGUUGGGGAUGGACUCGCGGCUUAUCAGCUUGUUGGUUGGGUAGUGGCUUACCAAGGCUUUGACGGGUAGCCGGCCUGGGAGGGUGACCAGCGACCAUGCGCCUGAGAUACGGAGCAGUGUCGAACGGGAGACAGCAGUGGGGAGUAUUGCACAGUGAGCGGGAGCCUGAUGCAGAAACGCCGCGUGCGGGAUGACGGCCUUCGGGUUGUAAAACGCUUUCGCCUGUGACGAAGCGUGAGUGACGGUAAUGGGUAAAGAAGCACCGGCUAACUACGUG
rnacentral:rRNA from 1 species